AUGCCAGCAGCUCCAUGGGGUUUUUACACCUAGUACAAGGAGAAUCAUAAAUCUCCAGAGUAGUCCUUUGGUGAGUAUCAUUAACCGUAUUUAUUAGUAACAGUAGCUCUUAGGCAGCAGACCAGAAUGGGAUCCCAUCUCUGUCAAGACUGCACAGGAAUCAAUGAGAAUGGAAGGCUAGAACUCUUCGGUGAAUGGAAAGCUAACAUUAAUGACGGUGUCUUCCAACAUCAGAUUACGAAAAGAAGUGCUGCUCUGUAUCGGACUCCUUAAAGAAGCUGGAGGCUCUGAACAGGCACCUUGCCACUUGGAAGUCCUUCACAUACAUGCGUCUUCCCUACUGGAAGGAAGGGCAACUGAGAACAGGAGCAAGUGCCUCAUACUAUGCUUCAUUGCUGUAGCAAGCAUCCUGCUUCCUGCGCCUGCACAGAGGAUAGAGGUGCGUGCCCAAGAGGCAGUCUCCCUCCUGCCAUGGGGCAGCAGCACAGAGGCUACAAGAAUCGCAGCAUACACCAGGAUGUGAGCAUGACUAGAGCUGCUUUAGCCCAAGAAAAAAAUUCAUCAACCAUCUGAUGAACUAGGAGAGAGCUCCUCAGGUUGCUCUGCUAAGUUGGAAACGACACUAUCAGGGAUCCUAACUCAUCUCUGGAUCUUCCUUGUGUUCACUCUGAUUCCAGGUCACCAGUUUUGGGGUCUCCAGGGUUAUGAUGGGUUCUGUGGGUCUGUUUCAAGGUGUCUGUGACUUCUCUCAUUAUCCCUGUGGCUUCUUCAGUAACUCCGAGGCAGUUAUAACAUCUCUGGAUUGUUCCUAUGAUCUCUGGAGCUUCUCUGGGGUCUCCAGAGCUACCCCGGGCUCUGUGGAGCAGCCUGCUCCCACACAGCAAUGCCUUCACAGACAUGGCAGCAUCUGCACCAGCCCCAAGCAGAGACAGAGACUUCUAGGUCCAUGACAGGUGGAAAAGACCUCAUACUUGUGCUGGACCUGGUGGUGGCCGUGCCACUACACCCAGGUCCUGAGAUGCAGCAGCACAAUGGGUAGCAGUAACAGCCCUGCACAGCCACAGCAAAAAGGCAGACUUCCUGGCAACCGGUUCUGCAGAUUUUCAGUCAAGGCAGGUUUAAGCCUUGCCUUAUAGCGGCAUGAUGGGAAAGACAACUGCCGGAAUGAGGGCUCCUUGGUCAGGACAUGGCAUCACAAAGGAGAGCAGGAUAUGGCGAGGAUCAGUGACUAUCUUAGACCCAUCUGAUAGAAAGGGACACUGCAUUCUGAGGCCAGAUAAGGUCAGCUGGGAUCACAUGCAAUGGCUUACUAUACAGAGAAAAACCUGAACAUUUUUCAUUCCUAGCAGGAAGGAGAACAGGGACAGACAAAGAGGGACUCUUUCCCUGGUGGCAGCUGCCUGAAGAAGAGGGGUGUGUGUGUGUGUGUGUGUGUGUGUGUGUGUCUCCUCUCUAUGUGGGCUGUUUUGGAAGGGUUUUGCAGACUAAAAACUAGAACAGAUCUUCACUUUAAGUAUUGGGGUGCUUUGUGUCAGGGAGCAGCAAGGGCUGUUUUUAAAGGGAAGAGGAACUCAGAGCUGAGGGUGACUCCUAAACAAGCAAUGCCCUUACCAAACAGGAUGCAGUCCCACAGCAUUUCAAUACGGCAGGCAGAACAGGGCCCUGAAAACAAGAUGAACCAGGUCCAGGAUUGCUCAAGAAGUCCAGCCAGGAACAAAAGGAAAUGGACCAGAGAUAAGACUGGAGACAAGCUACAAUGUACAGCUGAGGGGUCCAUCCAGGAAACAAGCUACCUACAACAUAGGUCUGAGAUCCAGCCAGGAGGUAAGGCCAGAGGCAGAACUGGAGAUAGCUACACCUGUAAUAUGGCUCAGGCAAGGUUUAAAGGCUCGGGCCUGAGCUUAAUGGAACUCCUGGGCAGAAGUGUGGCUGUUUUUUCCUCUGCUGCACGUGUGACCUUUGUAAUUUGGUUUGCAGCAGUGCCAGAGCAAUCAUGGCUCCCUGCAAUAUCCUGUGCCAAAAGUAAGAGCAAGAAAAGCUACAUCGUGAGGUACGUUCUAGAAUAAAGAACAUCCGAGUAUUGUUCUCCUUGCUGUCUCAGGUGUCCUGACUGGGCAGAACAAGUAGUAGAAGGUCAUGCAAGCAGAUCAAGCAAGGAUGAGCAGCUACAGGCAGGAGAGGCAGUGGAGCUCUGGUGGUUGGGACAUCAGACCACAUCUACAGAUCGAGAUGUGGAUUGUUUACAUCAUAUCAAAGCACUUACAGCAGCGAAGGUUUGGGGCACAGUGGCAGACACCACGGGCUCUACUUACUGUUGCUGGUUCCUGCUUAUGUCAAAGGUUGUGCAUGUGGGGAGCGCCUCUGUUAGCCUUCUGGUCCCCUGACAGAGCCCUCCAUUGGCCAUUCAUUGUCUCCCAGCCCAUGCCCUUUGCUGGCCUUCCGCAGUACCUGUAAGAAGUCCCUCUGCAGGAUGAAGCCUCGUAGUAGUUCGGCCAUUAAAAGGGACUCAGGCAAAUGUUUAAAACCAUCCUGUGCUCACGGCUGCCCUCAUGAAGACAGCAGAGGGGCCGUCUCAGAGGGAGAAGUGCCUUUAACAUGGCUCCCUGCGCUGCUGCACCUCUGACUGAGGCACAAAGGACAUUAGGACACACAGCAACUUUAUUACCCACAAAGAAACCCCCACACAUCACGGAGACACCUCCCCCCACCAGAUCUGACAGGCCCACUGGCUCCAGUGCCUCCCAAUGGGAUGUCCCUCCAGGUCUGACUGCAGGAGGGAUGGAGUCAGAAGGAAGAGGGAUGGAGAGUUGGACAGAGGGAUGGAGACAGGAAAGGAGGGACAGCGACUCAGACGGAGAGUGAGACAGAAGGAUGGAGAGAGGGAAAGGGGGAUGGAAAGCAGAAGAGAGGUGCAGAGUGGAAAAGAGGGAUGAGGUCAGGAAAAGCAGGAUGGAGAGGCAGACAGAAGGAUGGAGAGAGGAAAAGAGGCAUGUAGGGAAGAAAAGAGGUUGGUGGUUUGAGCAAGGCCACCUAUGAUGCACAGUUACACUGUUCUCCUGAAAAAUCACUAUGUGCCUGGCCACAAAACCAGUUUAUUCCAGUGACACUGCUGAGCCCGAGAGCCCUUGCUGUGCAGAUGGAGAAACUAAUCAUGCUAGUAUGUCUGCAACCUUUUAGGUGUUUUCAUUAUAACAGGCUGUUUUCCGAGUGGAAAGGCACUUUUGGACUCUUGGUCACAUGCACUGUGCGCGAGAUCCAGCUCCGUCCCCGCUCCAUUCUCUGCUACCACAUCUGUGUGGCUCAGGAGGUGCUUCGCCCCAUUCUGCGAGUGGCUUGUGCAGUGCUCGGGAGCCACUUCUCUGCCCUGCUCCUGCUCCGCUCGGGGCUGGUGCAUGCACGAUGCUCAGGAGCAGCAUGACGGCCACCUGGGUGGGAGUUUGCCUUCGGCAGCAGCGGAUGACGUCGGGACUGCCUGGCCCAGGGGCUUCAGUGAGGUGAGCACAUCCCUUCAAUGGCCGUGGGCAUCAGGAUGUCUUCUGCCUGCCGUGGCCACCACUGUGUGACAUGGGGGUCCCCCAAAGAUCUUUGGGAUAUGGAGUCCCUAAAAUUAGCAUCAACCCUGAUGCAUCCUCUGUGGUCCCCCAUGGCUCCUUCUGCAACACAGCAGCUACAUGCAGCACCCAAAGUACCGGCACCCAUAUGCAUUCAGCUCUCCUCUGACAUAGAACUCCCCUACCCUGACUCCCUGCCUGCAAUCACCCCACUUCUCCCCGAAAACCUUCCUUGCAAAAUCCUCCCCCCCCCGCCAACACACACCCUGAGGGCCCUGCAAAAACUCCUCCCCAAACCAGCCCCUAAACCAUGUACAAAUCCUGCCCCAAAGCCCCCCAAGAACCUCCAAACUCUGCCCCAACACUGUCAUCAACUCCAGAAACUCCCCCCCAAGUCUGUCCCAAAACUUCAAACAACCACAGUACCACCCCCCAAAUCCUAACAGCAGCAAGGAAGCCCUUCAAUACCUUUUAUUGUCAGUUAACACAGAUGUCAUUAGAAUCAAUUAGAAACAGUGAGGCUGAACUGGACAGCCCCACAAUCUGCUUGGCAUCAUCAUUCCUGGAUGCUAAUGUGGUUCCUCCUGGCCUCAUGCUGCACUGGGAUCCUCCUUGUCACCUGCAAUGGGACUGCAGCAAUCCCAAAGACCCAAAAUAUCACCAAGCCCUGUCCAAGGGCCCCCAUACCUUGUCCUAAAGCUCCCACUAACCUGACCUGACCUGUUUUGUGUGAGUAGUUAUUCACAGUACGUAACAGCAGCUUGAUUUUAUUAAUAAUAACAGAUUAAUUUAUAAAAGAUGUUCUAAUAAAGAUGGGGGUGAUCUGUGUCUCCCCCUUGACUCAG